rnacentral:rRNA from 1 species
UAUAAAUAACUGUACAAAGGUAGCAUAAUCAAUUGAUUUUUAAAUGAAAUCUGGAAUAAAAGAAUUAAUGAAAUAUAUACUGCCUCAUAUAUAUAAUAUAAAUUUAAACUUUUAAUAAAAAUGUUAAAAUUUAUUUAUGGGACGAUAAGACCCUAUAGAAUUUUAUAUUAAAUUAUUUUUAUAUAUAUUAAAUAUAAAAUUUAAAUUAAUAUUUAAUUGGGAGAAUUAUUAAAUUUAAAAAAUUUUAAUUUUAAAAAACUUUAAUUUAAGAAAAUAUMUUGAUCUUUAAAUUAAAAUUAAUAGAAUAAAUUACCUUAGGGAUAACAGCGUUAUAUUUUUUUAUAGAUCACAUAGAAAAAAAUGAUUGCGACCUCGAUGUUGAAUUAAGAUAAAUUUUAAAUGUAGAAAUUUAAUAAUUAAGUCUGUUCGACUUUUAAAAUCUUACAUGAUUUGAGUUCAAAUCGACGUAAGUCAGAUUG